AACGAACGCUGGCGGCAUGCCUAACACAUGCAAGUCGAACGAGACCUUCGGGCCUAGUGGCGCACGGGUGCGUAACGCGUGGGAAUCUGCCCCUUGGGUUCGGAAUAACUCGCCGAAAGGCGUGCUAAUACCGGAUGAUGUCGUAAGACCAAAGAUUUAUCGCCCAGGGAUGAGCCCGCGUAAGAUUAGGUAGUUGGUGAGGUAAAGGCUCACCAAGCCGACGAUCUUUAGCUGGUCUGAGAGGAUGAUCAGCCACACUGGGACUGAGACACGGCCCAG
rnacentral:rRNA from 1 species